GCUCCAGGACCGGGUUCCAUGGGCAGAGUCCGCAUGGGGCGGAACCAGCUGCCUGGGCCCAUCUUGGGAGGGUACUGGGGGGCCACAGGCCAGCCAGCUCCAGGCGUCAGGACCUCUUGGCCUCGGUAGUAGGACACGGGAAGGAGACGUGCUCAACACCAGUCUGGAGCCGAGUCCCAGGAGGAACCAAGAGGAGGCCCUCUGCAAAGAUGUCCUUUGUGACCAAGGUAUUAGCACAAGCAAGGCUUCUCAAGGCUCUGUUCAACUUAGACUCCGCGUCCAUUUCCUGAGGCGGCGGGCACCAACCCUAUGCCCAGCAUGGCACACAAGUGAUGGCGGCCUCGGGUUUGAUGAAGAAAGCCCCAGGGCCAGCUUGGCCCAUGUCAUCCUGAAUGCAACCCCGUGUCUGCCCCUGAGACUCAGCUUCCUCCCACCUCAUCUUCCCCGCACGGUGCAUGGAAAAGAACCAGAGUCAGAGAGGAAGAAAAGGGACUUUCACAGAACAGAAUCAGCCAGGAGGGGUGGGGGGUGGCGAGGAAUCCCACCUGGGUCACAUUGUUAGAGGCCCCUUUGUUGUUCGUGAGCUUUAGUUUCCCGAACGAAACUUCCUGGCGCAUCCAAUGGGCUCCAGUAUUGGGGGAAUCUGGGUGGACGUACAGGCGGUUUCCUGUGGACAGUUAACCUCUUUGGCAUGCAGCCCCCGGGGGACCAGAGCCCUGGUGAGAUGGGGCUUCUUUGCCUGUUCGGAGGGGGAUGUCGAAAAGGCUGCAGGGGCAGGACUAGAUGGGUCAGGGCAAGGGGAGGUGGGCACAGAGGACUGAGCAGAAGACAGGCUAAGGCAGAAGAGAGAAGAGAGGACAAACAGAACGGGGGUGAGAAGUGGGAGGGGACAAGGGUGGGAUGGGGAGUUCAGGCUUAGGUGUAGCGGGCAGUGGCUCGCGGGUUCCUCCUGGGUCCACCAGGGGGCGCUCAGUCUCGGCGAAAAAGAGCAUCCAGGGUUCUCCAGGGGGCUUCCUACCUGGCAUGUUGCCCUCAGCCUUGCCACACUGCACCCACUUGCCGCUCUGAUACCGCCAGUGGUGCUGGUCCACCAAGACCACGUCCACGAACAUCCGGUAAUGGCUGGUGGGCUCCAGCCCCGCCACAGUAAAUGACAAGAACGGGAACAUCCGCCUAGGGAGAACAGAAAGACCCACCAACAUCCAUCAGCCCCCCAACGUCGCAGACAGCCACCCCAGUGCCAAGGCUUUCCGCGAUGUGCUGGAGUCAGCUUCCACCCCUCAAGAGAGCCAAGCGGAAAUGCCAGCCAGUCGCUAAACAAUGCCAUAACUAAAACUGAAAUUAUAUCAACUUACAAUUAAAUACAUUACCAGCCGAGGUGAUAAAUACGCAAAA